AGGUGGUGAUGUUGAACGUUUUAGUUGAUGAAUGAAAUAUUCAGAGAAGUUUCUCAGUUUGUGCCUUUCUCUUUGUGAGAUUGUUUUGCUUUGUUCUUCUAGUUGUCUACGUUGUAGGCUAGUACUAGAUACGGGGUUUUAGGGUUCUUCUAGUCACCAAAAUUCUACCUUCACACCGACGAACCCAUAACCCAACUCCCUACUUGCUUCCCAACGACCAUAACCUAGAUUUCCCCUAUUUGCUUCACGAAGGAACAGUUGAUUUGAUAUGUGGAAUUGGGUUCUCCAUUUUCUUCAAUUGAACUCGAAUCAGACCCAGAAAACAAAUAUAACGAUCUCGACCUCAAAGACUUAGAAUCCGAAAACAAUCUCCACAAUUUCAGAUCCAUCCGCUAUCCCUCUCGCGCCAAGCCAUUUCAAGUGAAACAAAAUAAAUACAAAGUUUCAUAAUUUGAAGAAAAAGAAGAAGGCCAGAGUAAUUUGAAGUCGGUCGGGAGAAAAAUGAAUAGGAGUAAGUGAUUGGAGGUUAAACGGGACAGAAAAGAGAAAGGGAAAAAAGACAGUGGUACAGAAAAGGGCAAAGAAAGGGGAGAAGGGAGGGAUGCAGUGGCGAAGAAAAAAAAAUGAGAAGGAAGAUGAUUAAGAGUUUGACCCGAAUAAAAGG
rnacentral:lncRNA from 1 species